rnacentral:rRNA from 1 species
UACGGGGGGGGCAAGCGUUGUUCGGAAUUACUGGGCGUAAAGGGUGCGUAGGCGGUUCGUUAAGUUAGAUGUGAAAACUCUGGGCUCAACCCAGAGCCUGCAUCUAAUACUGACGGGCUAGAGUUCUGGAGGGGGUAGCGGAAUUCCUGGUGUAGCGGUGAAAUGCGUAGAUAUCAGGAGGAACACCGGUGGCGAAGGCGGCAUCCUGGACCAACACUGACACUGAGGAGCGAAAGCCAGGGGAGCAAACGGG